CCUACGGGAGGCAGCAGUGAGGAAUAUUGGUCAAUGGACGAGAGUCUGAACCAGCCAAGUAGCGUGAAGGAUGACUGCCCUAUGGGUUGUAAACUUCUUUUAUAUGGGAAUAAAACAGGGUAUGCAUACCCUCUUGUAUGUACCAUAUGAAUAAGGAUCGGCUAACUCCGUGCCAGCAGCCGCGGUAAUACGGAGGAUCCGAGCGUUAUCCGGAUUGAUUGGGUUUAAAGGGAGCGUAGGUGGAUUGUUAAGUCAGUUGUGAAAGUUUGCGGCUCAACCGUAAAAUUGCAGUUGAAACUGGCAGUCUAGAGUACAGUAGAGGUGGGCAGAAUUCGUGGUGUAGCGGUGAAAUGCUUAGAUAUCACGAAGAACACCGAUAGCGAAGGCAGCUCACUGGACUGCAACUGACACUGAUGCUCGAAAGUGUGGGUAUCAAACAGGAUUAGAUACCCUGGUAGUC
rnacentral:rRNA from 1 species